UUAGUUACUUUCUUUCCUCCUGUAGUCAUCUUUUAUUCCUUUAUUCCUCAUUUCCUUGCCUCUAUCCUUCCACGUUCCCUUCUUUUCCUCCCUGCUCCUUCUGUUCUCUCCUCUUUAAUGAUUUCUUUCCUUCUUUCUUCCUUUUUUUCAUCCAAUACCUGCUUCCUUUUUUCAUUACUGUAUUUCUCGCUUUAUUCGUUUUUUUUCCUUCUUCUUUCAUCUCUUCCUUACUUACUUUUCUUCUUCAUUCAAUCUAAAGGCAUGAAAAUACCACAAAAACUACUUUCAAACAAUUUCUUAUACUUGUUUACUGCAACUGAAGCAUGCUUUUUUUGGGGAGGGAAACCACUGAGUUGCUACUUUUAGUCCUUAUGUAUCAGUGAACUAUUGCACGACUACAUAUGUAUUAACAACAAUCAGCUAUAACCUCCACUGUGCUCUCAUUGUCCUCUUUAAUCUUCUUUGUUUCAGCCUGUCUGCUGUAAAGAAAACAGUCAUGAACAAUGCCUGUACACUAACCUGUGCAUAUGUUAGCGUCUGUGCCGUGUGUGUGUUUGCACAUCUGCGCAUUUAACACUCAUCUUGCAAACUCGCCUCCUCAGCAGGAGCAGCUUCCUCAUGUAGAACUAGAAAAGUAGAUACACACACACACGCAAACAAAACCGUGUGUGUGUGUGUGUGUGUGUUUUCCCAUGUGUGUGCGAUCACAUGAAGAAGAGCGGGCGAUAAGUAUUUACCGGCUGACCAGUGUCUCGCUGACAGAUUGAGAUUGGGAUGCUUUCGGCACACGGAGGAUUUAUGGGCGCUUUGACGCCGCUUUCCUCCUAAAUUACAGCCGGGGCCGGGAACAAUGAGAUGGCCUGGGAAUCGGGUCUGAUGCUCUGAACCUCCCCUGGGGUUAACAGUCCCUGACUCAACCCUCCGCACUCUAUUUUACACCCCCGACCAGCAGCUCAUCCUCUUUUCCAGCUCAGAGAGAAGGAGGGAGGAGUAGAAAACAAUCCAGUAGGAGGCUGGAGAUGGGCCACCUACAUCGAUUUCACACCCGAGGCUCAGAUAAAGAGGAGAAAAUCAGCUGGUCCACCAUCAUGUGUGAUUCGGUGUCGGCGUGCGAGAACACAAACUGCACUGAGGUAGAGGAGGAUUUAGUAGCACGGUGAAAGCUGCUCGAUAAUCGUUGGAGCAUCACGCUGCUGCCAGUGCAGUCUGGAAAACGCUUCUUCGGGCUGAACAUAAGCAAAUAUACAUGAGUGUUGUGUGGAGAUGCUUACAUGGCUGUUUCUUUAAUACUAAUACAGAUUGUGAACCCACCUCCCCACAUGAAGUUGGAUUAAUCAUCAGCUUGUUUAGAAUAUAUUUGACAUAUUUUUUUAUCGUAAAUGUCUUUCUUUCUCUUUUUAUGUUACUUAGGAUUAUUUAAUUUUGUGUGUAUUUUUGACUGUUAAGCACCACAACACAAAUUCCUUGUAUGUGCAAACCUACUUGGCAAUAAACCUGGUUCUGGUUUGAUGUGCAAAGCCACCAUGGUCACCCUAACACUCUUCUUUGCAUAGAUCUCUGCAAAGAUGUGUAUCUUUGCAGGAGUAUAACUGUUCCAACUCUAGAUCUUACAUCUUAGAUCAGGUCUCAUUCUGAUAUAUUCUGAAGUCUCUUCUGGAUCAGAUCUUUCUUUUUUUGGAAAAUUAAUUUUUGCAUGUUGGGCUCUGGGAGGUUUUCCGAGGG